UACGGGGGGGCAAGCGUUGUUCGGAAUUACUGGGCGUAAAGGGCUCGUAGGUGGCCAACUAAGUCAGACGUGAAAUCCCUCGGCUUAACCGGGGAACUGCGUCUGAUACUGGAUGGCUGGAGUAUGGGAGAGGAAUGCGGAAUUCCAGGUGUAGCGGUGAAAUGACGUAGAUAUCUGGAGGAACACCGGUGGCGAAGGCGGCAUUCUGGACCAUUACUGACGCUGAGGAGCGAAAAGCGUGGGUAGCAAACAGGA
rnacentral:rRNA from 1 species